AGUAUCAGAAGUGCGAAUGCUGACAUAAGUAACGAUAAAGCGGGUGAAAAGCCCGCUCGCCGGAAGACCAAGGGUUCCUGUCCAACGUUAAUCGGGGCAGGGUGAGUCGACCCCUAAGGCGAGGCCGAAAGGCGUAGUCGAUGGGAAACAGGUUAAUAUUCCUGUACUUGGUGUUACUGCGAAGGGGGGACGGAGAAGGCUAUGUUAGCCGGGCGACGGUUGUCCCGGUUUAAGCAUGUAGGCUGGUUAUCCAGGCAAAUCCGGAUAAUCAAGGCUGAGGUGUGAUGACGAGGCACUACGGUGCUGAAGUAACAAAUGCCCUGCUUCCAGGAAAAGCCUCUAAGCAUCAGGUAACAUCAAAUCGUACCCCAAACCGACACAGGUGGUCAGGUAGAGAAUACCAAGGCGCUUGAGAGAACUCGGGUGAAGGAACUAGGCAAAAUGGUGCCGUAACUUCGGGAGAAGGCACGCUGGUGUGUAGGUGAAGUCCCUGCGGAUGGAGCUGAGACCAGUCGAAGAUACCAGCUGGCUGCAACUGUUUAUUAAAAACACAGCACUGUGCAAACACGAAAGUGGACGUAUACGGUGUGACGCCUGCCCGGUGCCGGAAGGUUAAUUGAUGGGGUUAUCCGUAAGGAGAAGCUCUUGAUCGAAGCCCCGGUAAACGGCGGCCGUAACUAUAACGGUCCUAAGGUAGCGAAAUUCCUUGUCGGGUAAGUUCCGACCUGCACGAAUGGCGUAAUGAUGGCCAGGCUGUCUCCACCCGAGACUCAGUGAAAUUGAACUCGCUGUGAAGAUGCAGUGUACCCGCGGCAAGACGGAAAGACCCCGUGAACCUUUACUAUAGCUUGACACUGAACAUUGAGCCUUGAUGUGUAGGAUAGGUGGGAGGCUUUGAAGCGUGGACGCCAGUCUGCGUGGAGCCAACCUUGAAAUACCACCCUUUAAUGUUUGAUGUUCUAACGUUGGCCCCUGACCGGGGUUGCGGACAGUGUCUGGUGGGUAGUUUGACUGGGGCGGUCUCCUCCCAAAGCGUAACGGAGGAGCACGAAGGUUAGCUAAUCCUGGUCGGACAUCAGGAGGUUAGUGCAAUGGCAUAAGCUAGCUUGACUGCGAGCGUGACGGCGCGAGCAGGUGCGAAAGCAGGUCAUAGUGAUCCGGUGGUUCUGAAUGGAAGGGCCAUCGCUCAACGGAUAAAAGGUACUCCGGGGAUAACAGGCUGAUACCGCCCAAGAGUUCAUAUCGACGGCGGUGUUUGGCACCUCGAUGUCGGCUCAUCACAUCCUGGGGCUGAAGUAGGUCCCAAGGGUAUGGCUGUUCGCCAUUUAAAGUGGUACGCGAGCUGGGUUUAGAACGUCGUGAGACAGUUCGGUCCCUAUCUGCCGUGGGCGCUGGAGAAUUGAGGGGGGCUGCUCCUAGUACGAGAGGACCGGAGUGGACGCAUCACUGGUGUUCGGGUUGUCAUGCCAAUGGCACUGCCCGGUAGCUAAAUGCGGAAGAGAUAAGUGCUGAAAGCAUCUAAGCACGAAACUUGCCCCGAGAUGAGUUCUCCCUGAGACUUUAAGUCUCCUGAAGGAACGUUAAAGACGACGACGUUGAUAGGCCGGGUGUGUAAGCGCAGCGAUGCGUUGAGCUAACCGGUACUAAUGAACCGUGAGGCUUAACCUU
rnacentral:rRNA from 1 species